UGUUUUCAUCCCGCUCCAGCUGCUGUCUUCCACCACCAUCAUCAUCAUCUCAGCUACUCAAUGAACAUGGUGUUGGCCACCCUGAGCAACUAUUACUGGGAUGCCUUUUACUACUGAGACCUGAUGAAGAAUGUCUUGCAUUUGAAAGUCUGUCUCAGUCCAUUUCACCUAUACAUUGUUCCAAAGAUGUAACCCUAAGAAAUCCCUAUCUCUCGAUUAUAGUAGGCACCAACUUUACUAAUUCAGCUUAGAAUCCCUUCAACAUCAUCUCCUGAAAAAACAGGCAGACUGGACCCAGAGGAAUAUUUGGUCACAGCUAAAUCAAAAGGAAACAGCGACAACCAAGGAAUAGAACC